GUUCUAUGAAAGACAUGAAAAGGGUAGAGACUUUGAGGAGACGCCAAUCAAGCUGAAACCUGAAAGACGAGACUCUUCUAGUCAUACAGAAAGGAAGCAGAGAAUUCUGGGCAGAGAGCCGGCCUGAAGACCCAGAGCGGGGAUGUUGACCUGCUGGGGGAAUUGAGAAGAAGAGCUUUGCCGAACCCGUGAGCAGUCCAUGGGACGAGCAGGAGGUGACGUCACACGAUAGCAACAACAAAAUAUUCCCAAGCUUACUGAGAAAAGAACUGAUUAACCUGUGCAGGAUAGAAGUGGGAAGACCCGCGUCCUUGCUGGCGGUGUGGUGGUCAGCAGGGGAUACUGUGUCCUGCGUGGGAGACAGACAGACAGACAGAGGAGAAGCAGCAAUAGGAAGUGCGUCCUCUCUGAUGCCGGCCAGUGCUCAUUCGGGUCUCACCGUGGAACCCCAGCGCCAUUUCACCUCCCUAAGGAUUCUCUUUCCUGCGCUGCCCAGAAUGGGUCAGGAUCUGCCUCGGCCUCCUUGCUGUCAUGCUCACGACACCUCACAGGGUGAUUCCUUAGAACCCCUAAGGGCAAGGGAUUUUUCUGUUUUUCUUCUGUCAGAAUUCUAUGUCUGGGAUCUAGCCGAGUGCCUGGCACUUCAUUCUGAUUCAAUACGUAUUUGUUGAAUGAGCAAAGAAAAUGAGUACUCUAACUCUGGUGGAAAGAGGAAAAAGUCCCAAUUUCCAGAGAGACUUUAGGGAAUGAAAAUGUAGAGAGUAAGAAACUCUGUGAAUAUGUUGUUCAAAUUUGGCUGAGACAGAAAUUCUGGAAACACUGGGGAGGUAAAAUCAUCUGACGCUUUUCCCAGAAGCCCUCCCCCAACCCUCCAAAUUCCCACCUGUAGUCAGCAGGACAAAGCAUCAGUGUUUUAACCAGUGACACAUUUUUCGACUCUGCACCACUUUGGGGAUGUUAACAUCUGCGAGGCUGGCAGGUAGUAUCUUCUCGAAAGCAUUAGAGUCCUCGUGUUCUUCUCUGUGCAGGUCCCCAUGCGUCUGUACCGACCGGCACAGUGCAGGUGUUUUUACUCCAGAUACCCCCAGGCCAGGAAAGGCGCCGGGAGGUUCACUGUUUAGGAGUUUGGAGAGAAUGUUGGAGAAGAAACACUGACAGCACAGCAGUGAAAAUGCUACCGCUCAGGGCCCUGAAGCUCAGGAAUGACAUUUGUUCUCUUUGUACAAGCUGCGUGUCCUUGAUUUAGUCCCUGUUAGAUGGGGAACUAGUCUCUGUGCCACUGAGGAACAGGGGUCUUAAGGGAUGGGAAUCCAAUUCACUACCAAUGUCUUAUCUGAAAAUUAGAGAAAACGCUCCGAUCUACCACUGUGAGGAUUUAUGGGGCUUCUGUGUGCACUGUCUGCACACAUUGGACGGAAUUCCUUUUAAAGAGAGAAAACGGGGAGCUCUUCCGCUGUGGUUGUGGGGUUCAGGUUUGCUGCUGCGGAAGCCGAAUCAAGCCUGCGUGUUACUGUGGGUCUCUGAGCUGUCCCGGGUGGAACUCCUCUUUCCCUGGGGGCCUGAUGAUCCACGGACAGCCCCCCCCCCCCCAUUCAGGCCUUUGUGGCUACAGGUGUAAGAGCAAAAGGGCCACUGGCAAAGCUAGCAGUGAAGUCGGCUUUAGCCACUAUAACUGUUCCAACCUGGGGCUCGAUCCCAGGACCCCAGGAUCAUGACCUGAGCCUCUUGGUGGGACAGAGCUGCCAUCAGACUUCCAUGGGCUCUUUUCCCAUAGAGGAGAAUCUGGUUGUGACAGAAGAAAGCAGUUUUUUUCUGGUUUUUGUCCGCGUCUUCCCCUGUCCCUGUAGAAGGGGGGCUUCUGAUGUGUUGGGGGCUGUCUCCAUGCACUUGGGACAUUCAUUCUCUAUUUCUAAGUAGCACGUUUCCUCCUCUGCCCAUGUCCAUGGCAUGCUUUGGGUGUAAUUUAGGCAGAACUUGAAGUUUCAGCUGCAUCUCUUCCAAGUUGUAAGUUUUCAGACUGCAAACACAGUUUUGAAGGUUUUUCUAAUUUCUCCUGUAGGUUCCUCAUUCAUUCGGCUUUCUUCAAAUAUAUUUUUGAGUAUUUCCCAUUUUUCUCCCUCAAGCCUUUUUAAAGAAGCAUCUACCCAUCAGCGUCGAUGACCAGAUGACCUCCACUGCUGCAAUCCACGCAUCUGCUCUAGGGCCAGGGUGGGUCAUUCAGGGAACCGUCUGGAAGGCGGCCUGCCCACCUGACCGGCUUCACCACCGUUUGCCUCAGAGGUUUUAACUGGCUCUUCGGAUCCUUCACAGCCUGCGUUUUCGGGCGCGUUGUUGCGUUCCCUCAGCUGGAUGUGCUCUUUGCCUCCACGAAGCAGCUUCUUAGACGAGCAGUUCCAGACUUUGCUGAAGUCUAAAUAAAGCAGCGUUUUCA